rnacentral:lncRNA from 10 species
AGGAAGCGAGGAGCCGGCAGAGGUUGCUGAGGUUCCCGGGAUCUGAGGACAGGAGCCUGUGCUUCUUCCACAGGACAAGGUGAGAGGGCUCAGAGGGGACCUGGAGAGGAGAGAACAGCCAGCUGUGGGCAGAUGUGGUGGGUCCUCAAGGAGAAGCAGGCACUCAGAAUGUUACUUGCUUAAGGUCCCAGAGCCACCUGACCCUACUGAACACACCCAGAGGCACAUCCUGGAAGCCAGUCGGCAGCCUGAGCAGGUUGUGGGGCCUUGAAUAGAAAAGCCACAAGCUCCAAUGACAGGAAAUGGUGGGGACCCCCGAUCUGCCAGCAUAAAAUCCCAGAGCAUUGGCAAGUGCCAGCUGAGCUGCCAGAGCCAAUCACCGAGGCCCCUUUCUGGCCCCAUUUCCUACAGCCGAGAUCUGUUCUCUCCAGGCACAGCCUGGGCAGCCAUGGAGGGAAAGGCCUCAUGCUCCCCUGCCUGAAGGGUUCCCUAGCCCAGAUCUCAGGGCCCAGGAUUGUGGGGGAGGAUAUGGCCCCAGCUCCCGACCCCAGGGGCCUGUGCUGGGCUGGGAUUGGAGUUUGACUGAGGGUCUGAUGACCUUGAAUAGCCUCAGUCUGAGGACAUUUCCCCAGGGUCAGGUCCACACACACGGUGACCUCCUUCAAUUCUCAUUCCAAUCUCAAAAAUCAGGAUUGCUAUCUCCCCUUCACAGAUGAAGAAACUGAAGCUCAGAGAGGUCAAGUUAUUUGCUUAAGGUCACACAGCCAGGGAGAGAUGGAGACCAGAUUUUACUCCACGACCACCUGUGUCUGAAGCCCAAGCUCUAAUCAGUAUUUCUCAAACAUUUCUAGCUAAAGUCCAUCUGCUCAAUUCUCCACACUUUCCCAAGCUGGGAGAUGGGGGAGUAAGGAGGCAGCUUUGAUAUAUCCUGGGGGAAGCUGUCUCCAACCCUCAGGAGGUAUCCCUGCUGUCACCUCUGCACUCACCUGUAGAAGGUAUACACAACCUGAGGUCCUCACAGAUCUGCUGGGCAGUUUCUCCGGCCACGAGGCCCUGGGUAACUCUAGACUGAUACCUCCUCAUGAAAUUUCUGCAGACGUCGCGCCAUCGUGACCUCCCCGUCCUACACACCCGGGUCGCAGCAUUGGAAACACUUCUCUGCAGCAGCAGCACCACAGUGGACAUGGUUAUAGGGUGGCUUGGUGAGAGCAGGGCUGCGCUGCCCCUUCUGUCACCCCCACCCUGUGCCUGGAACAGCACUUGGGCACAGAGCCAGGACCCAUCAGAUUCAGCGACCUGACCCCAUCUUCCUGGGAAAACACUUGUUCGUUCCUGCAGGAAUGGCAGCUGGUGCCCUUCCAGUCAGAAUCAGCUUCUCUUUUCCUGUUGAAGCCACCAUCACUGCUCCCUUGUCCUAAGGCAGCUCAACUAAGGAGGUGCCCACUCGGCCUUCCCUGCUCCAGCCUCAAGAUGCCUUCCUCAGGCUCCACAUUUUCCCUCCAUACUUUGCACCUGUUCAGGGCACAGCCCUCAUCAUGCCCCUCAGGACUCCACUUGAGGCCUCUUACUUCAGGGAGAGACCAAGAAGAGGGGCCUGAAGCACUUCCUGCAGAAAGGAGACCCAGCCCCUGCCAGAGGCCUGUGUGGCUUCUUAUCUCCUUAGACCGGAGCAGUUGGAGGCUGGGUCAGAAAGGCAGAAAGGAACAGAAACCAACAAUGGGCAGGAAUGUCCUCCAGCUACAACCUAUAGGCGCAGCUACAGCCAACAGGUGCAAUUUUAGGGACAUUUAAAAGGGUCAUAAUUCCAUAAACAAAAUGCGGUGUAUGCACACAGCCUUUAAAAGGAAGGAAAUUAUAAGAGAUGCAUGAUAACAUGGAUGAACCCAAAAGACACUCUGCUAAGUGAAAUAAACCAGUCACCAAAGACAAAUACUAUAUGAGUCCACUUCUAGGAGGGACACAGAACAGUGAAAAUCAUAGAGACAGGAAGUAGAAUGAUUAUCAGGGGAUGGGGGAAAGGAGAGUUAGAGAGGAGAAGUAGAAUGAUUGUCAGGGGAUGGGGGAAAAGAGAGUUAGAGAUGGGAAGUAGAAUGAUUGUCAGGGGAUGGGAGGAAAGGAGAGUUAGUGUUUCAUGGGCACAGAGUUUCUGCUUGGGAAGGUGAAAAGCAUUCUGGAGAUGGAUGGUGGUGAUGGUUGCGCAUCAAUGUGAAUGUACAUAAAGCCACUGAAUGUACACUUGGAAACGGUUAGAAUGUAAAUUUUUUUUUUUUUUUUUUUUUUUAGAUGGAGUUUCACUGUCUGUCGGCCAGGCUGGAGUGCAGUGGCGCAAUCUCGGCUCACCACAACCUCCACCUCCCAGGUUCAAGCAAUUCUCAUGCCUCAGCCUCCCAAGUAGUUGGGAUUACAGGCACCCGCUAGCAUGCCCAGCUAAUUUUGGUAUUUUUAGUAGAGACGGGGUUUCACCAUGUUGGCCAGGCUGGUCUAGAACUCCUGACCUCAGGUGAUCCACCCGUCUCGGCCUCCCAAAGUGCUGGGAUUACAGGCGUGAGCCACCACUCCUGGCCUAGGAUGCAAAUUUUAGGUUAUGUGUAUUUUACCACAAAUGAAAAAAGAAAAAGAUUCACAAUUCCAGUCAGGAGAAAGGCACUGUCUUCUAUACUGCUCAGAGGAGAUGUCAGCAUGACAUCUUGGGAGACCUAUUGUCAGUGUGCAUUAAAAUUUAAAUAUGCUAGGCCGGGCGCGGUGGCUCACGCCUGUAAUCGCAGCACUUUGGGAGGCCUAGGCGGGAGGAUCACCUGAGGCCAGGAGUUUGAGACCAGCCUGGCCAACAUUGUGAAACCCCGUCUCUACUAAAAAUACAAAAAUUAGCUGGAAAUGCUGGCAGGUGCCUGUAAUCCCAGCUACUCGGGAGGCUGAGGUGGGAGGAUCACUUGAACCCCGGGAGGUUGAGGCUGCAGUGAGCAGAGAUCGUGCCACUGCACUCCAGCCUGGGCAACAGAGCAAGACUAGCACUAGAGCUACCAGAGGAGUCCCAAUACCUGCUUGGACAACGUGGAUAAAGCUGUGACAUCUGGAACAGCUGUAGCCUUUUCACUGCUAUGGAGGAAGACUUGGAGGCUCCAGACAGCAGAGGCUGAGCACAGGGAGAAACCAUAUCUUGGUGACAUGAUUUGCACCCGUGGAUAAACUUUGCCAGCAACUACUUGAUCAACUUCCAGAUUUUUCAAUUACAUGAACCAAAAAUCCUGCCCCUGCUUUUCUCUUUGAGACAGAGUCUCACUAUGUUGCCCAGGCUGACCUCGAACUCCUGGGCUCAAGCGAAAAUUCCCUUUCCUAUAGGUCAGUUUGCAUCGAGUUCUCUCUGCUUUGUAACAUAAAAAUGUCGGACAACACUUUCUUUUGCAAUCAGAAUUUAACUAAUUAACACAAAAACAAUAAAUACAUUCCCCAAGGUCAAAUCUUCUCUUACCAGCUUUAAGAAAGCCUGCAAGUUAUUUUUAGUUCUUCCUUUGCCCUCAGAUGUUUCUGGCUUUUGAAUAAAAUAUGCAAGUGCCGUGUUGAGCGAAUUCUCACAUUAAGCUUGUCCUGAAUGGGGUUAAGAUAUCAGGACUACUUGAAAUUAGAAAAUAUUUUUGAGCCCCCACUAUGGACAAAGCCCCAUCAAGGGUGUGAUAAGAGCCGAAGAUAUCAUUAGAUGCAAUUUCUGCUCCAGGGGUCAAUGAGGAACAAACCUGCCUUCAUGAACAGCACCCACUUAGGAGGGAAGCUCCUGGAAGCCAAGCCCACUAUCUGGCUGGUUUACUGCUGUAUCUCCAGUGCCUAGAUUAGUGCCUGGCACAUUGCCAAGUAUAUAUUUUUAUAAUUGAAUAAAAAUAAUAGAAGU